rnacentral:rRNA from 1 species
UACGUAGGGUGCGAGCGUUGUCCGGAAUUACUGGGCGUAAAGAGCUCGUAGGUGGUUUGUCGCGUUGUUCGUGAAAACUCACAGCUCAACUGUGGGCGUGCGGGCGAUACGGGCAGACUGGAGUACUGCAGGGGAGACUGGAAUUCCUGGUGUAGCGGUGGAAUGCGCAGAUAUCAGGAGGAACACCGGUGGCGAAGGCGGGUCUCUGGGCAGUAACUGACGUGGAGGAGCGAAAGCCGUGGGGAGCGAACAGG